rnacentral:lncRNA from 1 species
CAUCUGCAUCUAACGCUUCUUUGUGAGAAUUGUAAGCUAUUUCCUGAGUAAGGCUUAAAAGAUAUAGCUUCAAUACUUUGAAAUUUUUUAAGAUUUCAAUGGUUACAUUGUUUAUUCGUAGGACCUUGUAUGAAAAUAUAGUGAUUGGUACAAUGCUUAAGGAGAACCAAAUUCCUCCCGUAUGGAGAUGUUAGUGCACUCUGAGUGUUUGUCAUUGUAGGCUGGACAUUCCUUUUCUGUCUGAGCUGAGUAUUAUGAUUUGUCACUGUUUAAUGUUUCACAUUGACACUUUCUUGAGUUCAAAUAAUGUGAAUUGUAUUGGAUGGUUGAUUUCUAU